CAGCAGCCGCGGGAAUACGGAGGGAGCUAGCGUUGUUCGGAAUUACUGGGCGUAAAGCGCGCGUAGGCGGUUACUCAAGUCAGAGGUGAAAGCCCGGGGCUCAACCCCGGAACUGCCUUUGAAACUAGGUAACUAGAAUCUUGGAGAGGUCAGUGGAAUUCCGAGUGUAGAGGUGAAAUUCGUAGAUAUUCGGAAGAACACCAGUGGCGAAGGCGGCUUACUGGCUCAUUCUAAACGCUGAGGUGCGAAAGCGUGGGGAGCAAACAGGAUUAGAUACCCCGGUAGUCCCUGUCUCUUAUAC
rnacentral:rRNA from 1 species